AAUGAACGUUGGCGGCGUGGAUUAGGCAUGCAAGUCGCGCGACAAGGAACCUUCGGGUUCUGGAGGAGCGGCAAACGGGGUAGUAAGGCAUCGGAACGUACCCUCUUGUUGGGAAUAGCCGCGGGAAACUGCGAGUAAUGCCCAAUAAUCCCUACGGGGCAAAGGUCCGCCGCAGGAGGAGCGGCCGAUGUGAUACCAGCUAGUUGGUGAGGUAAUGGCUCACUAAGGCUUAGACGUCUAGGGGGUGUGAGAGCAUGGCCCCCCACCACUGGGACGUGAGAUACUGCCCAGACACCUACGGGUGGCUGCAGUCGAGAAUCUUCGGCAAUGGGCGCAAGCCUGACCGAGCAACGCCGCGUGCGGGAUGAAGG
rnacentral:rRNA from 1 species